rnacentral:rRNA from 1 species
AUUGAACGCUGGCGGCAGGCCUAACACAUGCAAGUCGCGCGAGCGGCGGACGGGUGAGUAAUGUCUGGGAAACUGCCUGAUGGAGGGGGAUAACUACUGGAAACGGUAGCUAAUACCGCAUACCAUCAGAUGUGCCCAGAUGGGAUUAGCUAGUGGGUUGGGUAACGGCUCACCGGGGCGACGAGCCCUAGCUUGUCUGAGAGGAUGACCAGGCACACUGGAACUGAGACACGGUGCAGACUCCUACGGUAGGCAGCAUUGGGGAAUAUUGCACAAGGGGCGCAAGCCUGAUGAAGCCAUGCCGCGUGUGUGAAGAAGUCAUUCGGGGUGUAAAGCACUGUCAGCGGGGAGGCGUUACCCGCAGAAGAAGCACCGGCUAACUCCGUGCCAGCAGCCGCGGUAAUAC